rnacentral:rRNA from 1 species
CCCUUAGAUGUUCUGGGCCGCACGCGCGCUACACUGACGAAGUCAGCGAGCAUGUCCUACGCCGACAGGUGCGGGGAAUCUUGUCAAACUUCGUCGUGAUGGGGAUUGAUUAUUGAAAUUCUUGAUCAUCAACGAGGAAUUCCUAGUAAGCGCAAGUCAGCAGCUUGCGUUGAUUACGUCCCUGCCCUUUGUACACACCGCCCGUCGCUACUACCGAUUGAAUGGUUUAGUGAGAUCUUCGGAUUGGCGCCACUGCGGCUCGGCAAUGGGCUCGGUGGAUGCCGAAAAGUUGAUCAAACUUGAUCAUUUAGAGGAAGUAAAAGUCGUAACA